AGCGAACGUUUGCGGCGGGCUUAACACAUGCAAGUCGAACGAAAUCCCUUCGGGGAGGAAAGUGGCGCACGGGUGCGUAACACGUGGAUAACCAACCCAUUGGUUUGGGACAACACCGGGAAACUGGUGCUAAUACCAGAUGUGUCGCAGCUGCCUUCAGGCGGCUGCGAGAAAGGCCCGCAAGGGUCGCCAACGGACGGGUCCGCGUCCCAUCAGCUAGUUGGUGAGGCAAUGGCUCACCAAGGCAAAGACGGGUAGCUGGUCUGAGAGGAUGAUCAGCCACACUGGAACUGAGACACGGUCCAGACUCCUACGGGAGGCAGCAGUGGGGAAUAUUGCGCAAUGGGCGAAAGCCUGACGCAGCCACGCCGCGUGAGCGAUGAAGGCCU
rnacentral:rRNA from 1 species